ACCCGCUGAACUUAAGCAUAUCAAUAAGCGGAGGAAAAGAAACUAACAAGGAUUCCCCUAGUAACGGCGAGUGAAGCGGGAUGAGCUCAAAUCUAAAAUCUGGUAGUCUUUGGCUGCCCGAGUUGUAAUCUAGAGAAGCGUUUUCCGCGUUGGACUGUGUACAAGUUUCCUGGAUACGGAACAUCAUAGAGGGUGAGAAUCCCGUCCUUGACACAGACUCCCAAUGCUUUGUGAUGCGCUCUCGACGAGUCGAGUUGUUUGGGAUUGCAGCUCAAAAUGGGAGGUAAAUUCCUUCUAAAGCUAAAUAUUGGCGAGAGACCGAUAGCGAACAAGUACCGUGAGGGAAAGAAAAAGCACUUUGGAAAGAGAGUUAAACAGUACGUGAAAUUGUUAAAAGGGAAACGAUUGAAGUCAGUCGCGUCUGCUUGGACUCAGCCUUACCUCGGUUUGGUGCAUUUCCUUGUAGACGGGCCAGCGUCCAUGUUGAUCACUGGAAAAGGUGUGGGGGAAUGUGGCUCUUUCGGGAGUGUUAUAGCCCUUGCUCGUAUACGGUGAACGAUAUGGAGUGGUACAGCACGCUUCGGUGGUGCUUGUGCUGGCAUAAUGGCUUUAAACGACCCGUCUUGAAACACGG
rnacentral:rRNA from 1 species